UACAGAGGGUGCAAGCGUUGUUCGGAAUUAUUGGGCGUAAAGGGCGCGUAGGCGGUGCUGUAAGUCUGUGGUGAAAUCUCUGGGCUCAACUCAGAGUCUGCCAUAGAAACUGCAGUGCUGGAGUGUGGGAGAGGUGAGUGGAAUUCCCGGUGUAGCGGUGAAAUGCGUAGAUAUCGGGGAGGAAUACCUGUGGCGAAAGCGGCUCACUGGACCACACUGACGCUGAGGCGCGAAAGCUAGGGGGAGCAAACAGG
rnacentral:rRNA from 1 species